CUCGCGUGUCGUGUCAGCAGCCGCGGUAAUACAGAGGGUGCAAGCGUUAAUCGGAAUUACUGGGCGUAAAGCGCGCGUAGGUGGUUCGUUAAGUUGGUAUGUGAAAUCCCCGGGCUCAACCUGGGAACUGCAUUCAAAACUGUCGAGCUAGAGUAUGGGUAGAGGGUGGUGGUAAUUUCCUGUGUAGCGGUGAAAUGCGUAGAUAAUAGGAAGGAACACCAGUGCGAAGGCGACCACCGUGGACUGAUACUGACACUGAGGUGCGAAAGGCGUGGGGAGCGAAACAGGAUUACGAUACCCUGGUAGUCCAACGCGUAAACGAUGUCAACUAGCCGUUGGGAGCCUUG
rnacentral:rRNA from 1 species